rnacentral:rRNA from 1 species
GUGUGUCGAUGAAGAGCGCAGCCAACUGUGUGAAUUAAUGUGAACUGCAUACUGCUAUGAUCAUCGACAUCUUGAACGCAUAUUGCGGCCACUGGUUUACCUGUGGCCACGCCUGUCCGAGGGUCGGCUUAUAAACUAUCACGACGCCCAACAAGUCGUGGCUUGGGUUUUGCCAGCUGGCGUGAUUUCCCCUAUCUGGACUUGUUCCUUUGUGGGGUGCCAGAUCUAUGGCGUUUCCCUAAUGUAUCCGGACACAACCGCAUAUGUGGGCGUCAGCCUGUAUGAGGAUGUGGCGAUGGAGUCGUGGCUCAGUAAAUUGCGCGCUCUGUUGUCGUGUCUUUGUUUGUGGUGUGGUUCCGAUGACUAUAUUGACCCAGUGUGCCUUCGGGUGCAUUUCUUUCCUGACCUCGGAUCAGACGUGAAUACCCGCUGAACUUAAGCAUAUCACUAAGCG